GUGAAUCAUCAAAUUUUUGAACGCAAAUUGCACUCUCUUCGGAGAGUAUGCCUGUUUGAGGGUCAGCCUAAAAAAAAAUCGACAUAGUCGCUGUUUCGCGUUGACAUUCGUGGGAAAUUGGUUAAUUUUAAACUUUUGGGUUUAAAGCGGUUUAAAUUUUCCUUUACGAUUCCAGGAACGUUUCUAGAUUUUCCUUUUUAUCC
rnacentral:misc_RNA from 1 species